rnacentral:lncRNA from 1 species
CGGGAAGCGGCUUUUCCGCCCGACGACCGGCCGGGCCGUCGUUUCACAGAGAUCGUUGAUCACAAAGGGUUUGGCUGGGUUGUGUUGAGUGGGCUUCAUUUGUUGGUUUGGGAUAAACAGGUAAUGUGCGGCCGGUCUGCACAAAACCCUUUCCCUGUGCCUGAGCGGUUAAUGUUAUUCCCUAACUAUUUCGGCAGGAUGUUAAAAUUCCGUAACUAUUUCUGCGAGAGACUGGAUGCGAUAAAGGCUGCUGAAGUAAAAUAAAGGCUUAUCCCUGUCGAUUAAAAGAAUAAAUGAAGCUUCACUUCUGCUUCUUGUCAAGGCGGAUUUUUAAAAUACUUCAGUUGUCUUCGUACUGCCUCAGUAUAAGGUUCUAAGCAAUGUUAAGUGUACUUGUGUGGCUCUGCAUACCCAGCCCUUUUUGGGAGGGUUAGCACACUGCCAGUUCAGCUCUCUGAAGUCACUUUGAUGGUGACAAGGCUGUUGCAAGAGGAGGGCAGCAUGGCUGAUGUGCCCGAGAGCAAGACAGCAGGGAGCGAGCAGGACUGUCCCUUUCAGGGGCAGCUUUAAGGCCAUUUUCCAAGACUACUGGAUUAGGUGUAUGUUGUACGGACAGACCAGCGUUAGUGUGGCUUGCAAUAUCCUUUGCAAAGCAUUCAUCUUGUAUUACAGUGCCUGCAAUGAUAGACCACAGCUUGUCUGAGACUGAGGAAAAAACACAAAAAAGCCCGCAAACCAGAAACCCUUUCAACAAAAGAGCAGUAGAUGUUCAGGACACCUGCUGUUACAAGAGAUCUUCCUACAGCAAUUAAUUAGUUCAUAGCUGCUGAUAUCUAUAUUCUGGAAGUAAAUGCUCAAGGAAUUACUGGCUUAAACUGGCUUUAAAUUGGAAUCACCUGGAAAAAAUGUGCAACACUUGGAAAAUCUAUUUGGUAGAGGCCUGGGGAGGUUUCCCAAAAGGAUACAGAUCUGAAGGUAGGUAAUUAAUGAACUAGGCCUUGAAUACUGGUAGCUUACCUUUUAUUGUCUUGCAUUAGAAUUUU